CCACAUCCGCUGACCAAUACAUCGCCUUCUUCACUGCCCAUUAGCCUCUGCAGACCAGACACUAACAUGGCAAUGCACUUUUAUAUACCUUUUUAAGUAAACAUACCUUCAUAUAUAUAUAUAUAUAUAUAUAUAUAUAUAUAUAUAUAUAUAUAUAUAUCCUCAUGAGAGUAAUUUUCAAUAAUUGCUGAUUGUUGAGGAUAUAUCUAAAAUCUUAAAAAGAGACGACGGUUGUCAAGCCUACUUCUGCAAUUGAUGAAAGGCGGUACAACUUAUUUGGUAUGUUACUGCCAGACCAAAAUAUAAUGCUUAUCUACAGCAAGUAGGAAUCAUAGAGCCCAUUUAAAGAAAAAGUGAUAUUUUGACCAACAUGCAUGUUUUACAUGAUGAACAGAAGAGUUCUAAUGGUUGCAUCGGCAGUAGGUCCAACCUAGUCAUUGAAUAUGAAGACUAGUUCCGAUGACACCUCUGCACAUCCCAUGAAUCACUUUGCCCAACCUUUUAAUGUCUUGGUCGGCCUGAAGCGUUUUACGGAUCUCAACGGAACACAUUGAAUGGGGGUCUCCGAUUGUAAUGAAUGCAUGCAGGCCUCCUAUUGUAAGGAGCAAAGAGCAGCCAGAGCCUGACGUCAGGCCAUCAACCCCAGGGCAAAGUCUUUCCAGGGCACUGUCGAGUGUGGGCGAGCGCCGCGUGCCCCCCUGGUCCCAGCUGCAGUCCAACUGGAUGUGGGUGCGGCAGCGUCGGUGACACGUGAACCUACAGUCUGUGGAGGAGGGCAGAGGAGACGGAAACACAUCAACAUCUCUGAGGGCUUUGCAGAGGAUCAUCUCUCUCUGGCAUAUUUUCGGUUCAGAAUUGUACGAAUUGCAUUGCAGGCUCAUCAGGCUUUAUUCCAUCACGUCUCUUCCUAAAUGUUGAGGUAACUACCGGUAUUUAGCUUUAUGGUCUCAUUUGAAUUCUUGAAUGGUGAUGUCCUCAAAUCAUACUAUGCAAUACUUGCAGCUGCAUAAUGCAUUGUUAUAUACUGAUAAAUACAUGUUGUUUUAGCAGGGUUUGAAUUAUUGUAACUAUAAAGAGCAACGAUAUACUUAGUUAUUUCAUAAUCCUAUGCUUACUAGACUCAUAGUUACUUGACACAAAUGAGAUAAUGUCAGUAUUCUUUGUCAUUUCACCCCGUCCAAUACCCACGCAACUCUCAGAAGGGAAGUUCAUCUGUAACUCAAAAGACACACACACACACACACACACACACACACACACACACACACACACACACACACACACACACACACACACACACACACACACACAUCCAAAACACACACACACACACAC